UAGGGAAUCUUCCGCAAUGGACGCAAGUCUGACGGAGCAACGCCGCGUGAGUGAAGAAGGAGUUCGGUUCGUAAAACUCUGUUGUUAGAGAAGAACAGCGCAUAGAGUAACUGGGAUGCGUGUGACGGUAUCUAACCAGAAAGCCACGGCUAACUACGUGCCAGCAGCCGCGGUAAUACGUAGGUGGCAAGCGUUGUACGGAUUUAUUGGGCGUAAAGCGAGCGCAGGCGGUCAAUUAAGUCUGAUGUGAAAGCCCCCGGCUCAACCGGGGAGGGUCAUUGGAAACUGGUUGACUUGAGUGCAGAAGAGGAGAGUGGAAUUCCAUGUGUAGCGGUGAAAUGCGUAGAUAUAUGGAGGAACACCAGUGGCGAAGGCGACUCUCUGGUCUGUAACUGACGCUGAGGCUCGAAAGCGUGGGGAGCGAACAGG
rnacentral:rRNA from 1 species